rfam:Pteropus alecto contig44881, whole genome shotgun sequence.
GUCUACGGCCACGCCACCCUGAACGAGCCCGAUCCCGUCUGAUCUCGGAAGCUAAGCAGGGUCGGGCCUGGUUAGUACUUGGAUGGGAGACCCCCUAGGAAGACUAGGUGCUGUAGGCG